rnacentral:sRNA from 2 species
ACCACUGCUAAUCUAUCGCUGCUAAUCUAUCGCUGCUAAUCUAUUGCUGCUAAUCUAUCGCUGCUAAUCUAUCGCUGCUAAUCUAUCACUGCUAAUCUAUCGCUGCUGCCAAUCUACCUACCACUGCCAACCUAUCUACUGCUGCUAAUCUAUCGCUGCUGCCAACCUACCUACCACUGCCAACCUACCUACCACUGCUAAUCUAUCGCUGCUAAUCUAUCGCUGCUAAUCUAUUGCUGCUAAUCUAUCGCUGCUAAUCUAUUGCUGCUAAUCUAUCUAUCACUGCUAAUCUAUUGCUGCCAACCUACCUACCGCUGCCAACCUACCUACUGCUGCUAAUCUAUCGCUGCUAAUCUAUCGCUGCUAAUCUAUCGCUGCUAAUCUAUCGCUGCUAAUCUAUCGCUGCUAAUCUAUCGCUGCUAAUCUAUCGCUGCUAAUCUAUCGCUGCCAACCUACCUACCGCUGCUAAUCUAUCACUACUGCCAACCUAUAUAGGGUAAAUCAUGGUCCCAUUUGGUCCCAUUUUGUAAAAAUGGGACCAAAUGGGACUAGGAUCACUAAUUUAUUAGUAGAACAUGAUCUGGGACUAGAUUUAUAAUAUAAACAGUGUAAAGUGACUAAUUUACUAAACACUAUAUGGGACCAGGACUAAGAUAUCUAAUAAUGGGACCAAAGGAAAAUCUGGUCCCAGUUCCAUGCAUGGUCACACAGCCAGUC